UCUGUGAUUUAUUUUACUAGUGGUAACAGUUUGUAAAAUGCCUCUUGCAAAUUUAGAUGUUCCCUGGCAAAAGGAUGAUUCCGGUGUUCAGUCCCGAAGAGAUACCAUCGAUUGAUAGUAAUGAACAGGUUCAACAAAUGGAAACUGAUGGUUCAACUAUCGAGGUUACACAUGUUACCAAGGAGGGUCAUCCAGCUGCUGAUCUAGACCAAUUUGCAUUUUAAAGUUCUAGGUGAAAGAUCAUCUGGUAAAGUUUAUAUGGCCAAGAAAACAAUUGGACCGAUGCAGGCACAUUGUAUGCCAUGAAAGUCUUGAGAAAGGCAACUCUCAAAGUUCGUGAUAGAGAGCGAAGUAAAAUGGAACGAGAUAUUCUAGCUGAGGUUUAUCAUUGAAUUGACUGAUUUCGGCUUGAGUAAAGAAUCUCUUGUUGAUGACAAAACAUAUUCUUUUUGUGGAACCGUAGAGUACAUGGCACCUGAAAUAAUUAAUCGUAAAGGUCACACUGUGGCGGUUGAUUGGUGGUCUUAUGUUAACCGGAGUAUUACCAUUUCGUGGUGGUUCCAGAAAAGAAUUGGCUGUCUUGUUUUUUAGUUUAACUCUUUAGCUUAUUUACAUAUGGAAAACCCGAGAAGGUGAAAAACGAAUGAUAAUUAUGAUGUUAAUUUGUGUUUCUCAGAUAAUCUCGUGUAAUAUUUUCUGAUUCACUAGUGAAUAAGUCUUGUUUACAAUGAAAGAUUUGUUUUAUUCAACAAUUAUUUUAAACAAUAAAAUGGCAAUUUUGUCUUUUGUUUUUA